AUGAACGCUAGCUACAGGCUUAACACAUGCAAGUCGAGGGGCAGCAUGAACUUAGCUUGCUAAGUUUGAUGGCGACCGGCGCACGGGUGAGUAACACGUAUCCAACCUGCCGAUGACUCGGGGAUAGCCUUUCGAAAGAAAGAUUAAUACCCGAUGGCAUAGUUCUUCCGCAUGGUAGAACUAUUAAAGAAUUUCGGUCAUCGAUGGGGAUGCGUUCCAUUAGGUUGUUGGCGGGGUAACGGCCCACCAAGCCUUCGAUGGAUAGGGGUUCUGAGAGGAAGGUCCCCCACAUUGGAACUGAGACACGGUCCAAACUCCUACGGGAGGCAGCAGUGAGGAAUAUUGGUCAAUGGACGAGAGUCUGAACCAGCCAAGUAGCGUGAAGGAUGACUGCCCUAUGGGUUGUAAACUUCUUUUAUACGGGAAUAAAGUGGGGCACGUGUGCCUUUUUGUAUGUACCGUAUGAAUAAGGAUCGGCUAACUCCGUGCCAGCAGCCGCGGUAAUACGGAGGAUCCGAGCGUUAUCCGGAUUUAUUGGGUUUAAAGGGAGCGUAGGCGGACGCUUAAGUCAGUUGUGAAAGUUUGCGGCUCAACCGUAAAAUUGCAGUUGAUACUGGGUGUCUUGAGUACAGUAGAGGCAGGCGGAAUUCGUGGUGUAGCGGUGAAAUGCUUAGAUAUCACGAAGAACUCCGAUUGCGAAGGCAGCCUGCUGGACUGUAACUGACGCUGAUGCUCGAAAGUGUGGGUAUCAAACAGGAUUAGAUACCCUGGUAGUCCACACAGUAAACGAUGAAUACUCGCUGUUUGCGAUAUACAGUAAGCGGCCAAGCGAAAGCGUUAAGUAUUCCACCUGGGGAGUACGCCGGCAACGGUGAAACUCAAAGGAAUUGACGGGGGCCCGCACAAGCGGAGGAACAUGUGGUUUAAUUCGAUGAUACGCGAGGAACCUUACCCGGGCUUAAAUUGCAGAUGAAUUACGGUGAAAGCCGUAAGCCGCAAGGCAUCUGUGAAGGUGCUGCAUGGUUGUCGUCAGCUCGUGCCGUGAGGUGUCGGCUUAAGUGCCAUAACGAGCGCAACCCUUAUCGAUAGUUACCAUCAGGUGAUGCUGGGGACUCUGUCGAGACUGCCGUCGUAAGAUGUGAGGAAGGUGGGGAUGACGUCAAAUCAGCACGGCCCUUACGUCCGGGGCUACACACGUGUUACAAUGGGGGGUACAGAGGGCCGCUACCACGCGAGUGGAUGCCAAUCCCAAAAACCUCUCUCAGUUCGGACUGGAGUCUGCAACCCGACUCCACGAAGCUGGAUUCGCUAGUAAUCGCGCAUCAGCCACGGCGCGGUGAAUACGUUCCCGGGCCUUGUACACACCGCCCGUCAAGCCAUGAAAGCCGGGGGUACCUGAAGUGCGUAACCGCAAGGAGCGCCCUAGGGUAAAACUGGUGAUUGGGGCU
rnacentral:rRNA from 1 species